rnacentral:tRNA from 1 species
CAGGGAGACAACAAAAUGUUUAUAUUAUUAUUUUGUCACCUUAGGUCGAUCGGUAUCUCACGUUCUUAAUUUGUUAAGAAUUUUAUUUCCUAAGUUUUUCUAGGUCACACCCAUUAUUUUUCCUGGGCCAUUAGCUCAGGUGGUUAGAGCGCACCCCUGAUAAGGGUGAGGUCCCUGGUUCAAGUCCAGGAUGGCCCAUAUCUCUAUGUUGGGGGUAUAGCUCAGUUGGUAGAGCGCCUGCUUUGCAAGCAGGAUGUCAGCGGUUCGAGUCCGCUUACCUCCACUGAUUACCACCUCUUCCAUAAUCCGUAGAAAGGAAAUGUUUUGAGUUGUGAUCAUUAUUCUGAACGAAUCUAGCUUCCUAAUGAAAUCAUUAAGAUGCUGGACUCAUUGAAUUAAUUUCAUUGUUUUCAGAGAACCUUGACAACUGCAUAGAUUAUUUUUAAAGACAAUAAGCAUCUUUAAUGAUGCAGAUUUAUUAUUUGUGCGAAUGCAUUAAUAACAAUUCUAUUAAGCUGAUGCUUCAAUUUUUGAAGUUAUU